AUGAAGCUCCCAGCGAUUGUUCCGCUCGCCUGCGCCAUCCUCCUCCUCCUCGUCAAUCUCAAUGUUUCUCCCGUGGAGUCGUCUCGGCCGCACCCACCCGGACAGGGGCACCACCACGACCACGACCAUGACCAUGAUCGGCACGGCCACGACCAUGAUCGGCACGGCAGGCACCACCACGACCAUGAUGACUACGACGGGUACAGCUUCUACGUGUUCGGCGACUCCUUUGCUGACAACGGCAACCUGCCCCAUAAGGAUGGAGUGUUGUCUCCGAUGACGCGCCAGUGGUACACGCCCUACAGUGGCACCGGCCGCUUCUCCAAUGGAAAUGUUCAAUCCGACUUCAUCGCCAACAUGUUGGGGCAGUCUGGAUCCCCUCCUGCGCGCAGGCUCCACGACCCCGCCGGUCGGGAAGGCAUGAACUUCGCCGCCGGUGGCUCCGGCGUGUUCCAGGUAUCAGGCACCAAGACCCUCCACAAGCAGGUGCACAUCUUCAAGAGGCUUGUCAGGCAGGGAGACAUCGACCAAGAGAACCUUGGCAAUUCCGUCGCACUUGUCGCCGUCUCCGGGAACGACUACAACCAUAUCGGCGUCGACACCAGCGGCUUUGCUGACAUCACGGCUUUCGUGGACAACGUGACGACGGAGAUCCAGGCAAACGUGAAGGAUCUACUAGAAGCCGGCGUGCAGAAGGUGCUCGUCAACAACCUCUUCCCUCUGGGCUGCGCGCCGUCGCAGACCAAACCCAACCACACCGAGUGCGACGAUCAGGCCAACCAAGGCGCCUCCCUCCACAACCGCUACCUCAGCGCCAAGCUCGCCGACAUGGACAACGUCCGCGUGCUCGACCUCAACGCCGCCUUCAACACGAUCCUCGCGCACCACGCCGACGGCAGAGGCGCCGUGGCCAAGCAGUUCGGGCGGAAGCUGAGGCCGUGCUGCGAGCCUGCGGACGACCGCAGCUACUGCGGGCUCACCGUAUGGGACACCAACGGCGUCGACAUGGUUGAUAGUUACCAGGUGUGCCCCGAGCCGGAGAGGGCUUUCUUCUGGGACGAGAUGAACCCGACCAACGCUGGGUGGGCGGCCGUCAUGGGGCAGCUCGAGAGCAGCAUCAAGGAGUUCCUAGGCCUAGAUUCGUAG
rnacentral:rRNA from 1 species